UGGCGAACGGGUGAGUAACACGUGGGUGAUCUGCCCUGCACUUUGGGAUAAGCCUGGGAAACUGGGUCUAAUACCGGAUAGGACUACGCGAUGCAUGUCGUGUGGUGGAAAGCUUUUGCGGUGUGGGAUGGGCCCGCGGCCUAUCAGCUUGUUGGUGAGGUUAUGGCUUACCAAGGCGACGACGGGUAGCCGGCCUGAGAGGGUGACCGGCCACACUGGGACUGAGAUACGGCCCAGACUCCUACGGGAGGCAGCAGUGGGGAAUAUUGCACAAUGGGCGCAAGCCUGAUGCAGCGACGCCGCGUGAGGGAUGACGGCCUUCGGGUUGUAAACCUCUUUCAGCAGGGACGAAGCGCAAGUGACGGUACCUGUAGAAGAAGGACCGGCCAACUACGUGCCAGCAGCCGCGGUAAUACGUAGGGUCCGAGCGUUGUCCGGAAUUACUGGGCGUAAAGAGCUCGUAGGUGGUUUGUCGCGUUGUUCGUGAAAACUCACAGCUCAACUGUGGGCGUGCGGGCGAUACGGGCAGACUUGAGUACUGCAGGGGAGACUGGAAUUCCUGGUGUAGCGGUGGAAUGCGCAGAUAUCAGGAGGAACACCGGUGGCGAAGGCGGGUCUCU
rnacentral:rRNA from 1 species